rnacentral:rRNA from 1 species
AGAGUUUGAUCCUGGCUCAGGAUGAACGCUAGCGACAGGCUUAACACAUGCAAGUCGAGGGGCAGCGCGGGCGUAGCAAUACGCCUGGCGGCGACCGGCGCACGGGUGAGUAACACGUAUGCAACCUGCCCGCAGCAGGGGGAUAAGCGGAGGAAACUCCGUCUAAUACCGCGUAACACCCGGGGUGGACAUCCAUCCCGGGUCAAAGGAGCGAUCCGGCUGCGGAUGGGCAUGCGGCGCAUUAGCUAGUCGGCGGGGUAACGGCCCACCGAGGCGACGAUGCGUAGGGGUUCUGAGACGAAGGCCCCCCACACUGGUACUGAGACACGGACCAGACUCCUACGGGAGGCAGCAGUGAGGAAUAUUGGUCAAUGGGCGGUAGCCUGAACCAGCCAAGUCGCGUGAGGGAAGACGGCCCUACGGGUUGUAAACCUCUUUUGCCGGGGAGCAACGGCGGUGACGUGUCACCGAUAGGAGAGUACCCGGAGAAAAAGCAUCGGCUAACUCCGUGCCAGCAGCCGCGGUAAUACGGAGGAUGCGAGCGUUAUCCGGAUUUAUUGGGUUUAAAGGGUGCGUACGCCGCUUUCCACGUCAGCGUUAAAAUUGCGCGGCUCUACCCCGCCGAGCCGUUGAAACUGGCGCGCUUGAGUGGGCGAGAAGUAUGCGGAAUGCGUGGUGUAGCUGUGAAAUGCAUAGAUAUCACGCAGAACCCCGAUUGCGAACGCAGCAUACCGGCGCCCGACUGACGCUGAAACACGAAAGCGUGGGUAUCGAACAGGAUUAGAUACCCUGGUAGUCCACGCAGUAAACGAUUGAGCGCUAACUGUCCGCCCCGGUUAAGGGGUGGGUGGUAAAGCGAAAGCGUUAAGCGCUCCACCUGGGGAGUACGCCGGCAACGGUGAAACUCAAAGGAAUUGACGGGGGCCCGCACAAGCGGAGGAACAUGUGGUUUAAUUCGAUGAUACGCGAGGAACCUUACCCGGGCUCAAACGGCGGAUGAAUAUCUUUGAAAGGAGGUAGCCUACGGGCAUCCGCCGAGGUGCUGCAUGGUUGUCGUCAGCUCGUGCCGUGAGGUGUCGGCUUAAGUGCCAUAACGAGCGCAACCCCCACCGACAGUUGCUAACUGGUCAAGCAGAGGACUCUGUCGGGACUGCCGGCGCAAGCUGCGAGGAAGGCGGGGAUGACGUCAAAUCAGCACGGCCCUUACGUCCGGGGCGACACACGUGUUACAAUGGCAGGCACAGCGGGAAGCCGCACGGCGACGUGUAGCGGAACCCGAAAUCCUGUCUCAGUUCGGAUUGGAGUCUGCAACCCGACUCCAUGAAGCUGGAUUCGCUAGUAAUCGCGCAUCAGCCAUGGCGCGGUGAAUACGUUCCCGGGCCUUGUACACACCGCCCGUCAAGCCAUGGAAGCCGGGGGUGCCUGAAGUGCGCUACCGCGAGGGGCGCCCUAGGGUAAAACCGGUGACUGGGGCUAAGUCGUAACAAGGUAACC